GCCCUCUCUCAAAAAUUUUCACACCUCUUUAAGCAACUCCCUACUUUGAUGCGAGUGCUCCCACUCCCGCUCUCUCUAUUUCAUGUAGCCAUCAUUAUGGGUGACAGCAUCAGCCACCUCCUGCUAGGGACUUCUACUUCAAGUUUCCUUGGUUGAGCUCUAGGUACCGCUCCCCUCAUGUAUCGAUCAGGGUUGAGAUGAUGCCCUCAUUCUAGUAGUCCUUGCCACCACUGUUAGAGGGUCUGUGGAUGGGGAGGAUGAGGAUAAGAGUGUGUUGGG
rnacentral:lncRNA from 1 species